GACAGAGGGUGCAAACGUUGUUCGGAAUUACUGGGCGUAAAGCGCGUGUAGGCGGCUGUGUAAGUCGGGCGUGAAAUCCCAUGGCUCAACCAUGGAAGUGCACCCGAAACUGCGUAGCUAGAGUCCUGGAGAGGAAGGUGGAAUGCUUGGUGUAGAGGUGAAAUUCGUAGAUAUCAAGCGGAACACCGGUGGCGAAGGCGGCCUUCUGGACAGUGACUGACGCUGAGACGGCGAAAAGCGUGGGGAGCAAACAGG
rnacentral:rRNA from 1 species